UAAAUAGCGGGUGAUGGGGUUCACCAUAAAUACUAUAAAUGCGAAAGCUGAUGACUCCUACAAGUAU
rnacentral:ncRNA from 2 species